UGGAUGGUGAACCCAAGCCCCCUUCAGUCACAUCCACGUCAGGAGUUGAGCUGGGACUGGAAUUUCCUGCCCUGGAGCUUUUCGCUACCAGGCGUGCUGACCAGAAGUCAUAUUCCUGAAUAAGCCCAACAGGUGCAUUCCUAAGGGGAAUAAGGUGGGAACAUCAAAGGUGGGGGGAGUGCACAAAAGUCCCUGCAGACCAGUAGCUAUCCAUCCUUUGGCAACAGUCUGUGGCUACCCUGCCCCCUCCUCCAGAUGCUUUUCUCGGUUAACACUGCCAUCUAGUUCUGCCAAUGACCUGUCAGCAUGAGAAGCUUGCAGACAGUCAUGCUGUCUCCUAAGUGCCAUUCUGUGUAUCCUUGUAAGCCCUUCAAACUGUAUCAUUAAUAUAAUUGUUAUGAUUAAAUAAAAAUUUAAUGUGCCUGCAUGGAUCUGCUGCACACGUAUG